rnacentral:snRNA from 1 species
GGAUGUAAGGGCGAUCUGGCUGCAACAGCUGUCACCCCAUUGAUCACCAGGGUUGAUUCGGCUGAUCUGGCUGGCUAGGCGGGUAUCCCUUUCCUCCCUCAAUGCUCCACGUGCGUCCCUCCCGAAGCUGCGCACUUGGUCGAAGAGGAUGACCAUCCCUGAUAGAGGAGGACCAGUCUUCAGUCAAGGGUAUACGAGUAGCUGCACUCCCCUGCUAGAACCUCCAAACAAGCUCUCAAAAACAUUUAUUAUGACAGGCUGAGCAUGGUGGCUCACGCCUGUAAUCCCAGCACUUUGGGAGACUGAAG